GCGAUACCGCGAAUGGCUCAAUAUAUCAGUUUUGGUUCCUUAGAUCUUACUCAGUUACUUGGAUAACUGUGGCAAUUCUAGAGCUAAUACAUGCAAUCAGAACUCUGACCAGUGAUGGAAUGAGUGCUUUUAUUAGAUCAAAACCAAUCGGCGGAGGGCGUUCGCGUCCGAUGUCGUUCUUUUUGAUGAAUCUGGAUAACUUUUGCCGAUCGCACGGUCCCGUACCGGCGACGCAUCUUUCAAAUGUCUGCCUUAUCAACUUUCNAUGGUAGUUUGUGCGACUACCAUGGUUGUCACGGGUAACGGGGAAUCAGGGUUCGAUUCCGGAGAGGGAGCCUGAGAAACGGCUACCACAUCCAAGGAAGGCAGCAGGCGCGCAAAUUACCCACUCCGGCACGGGGAGGUAGUGACGAAAAAUAACUAUACGGUACUCUUUUGAGGCCUUGUAAUCGGAAUGAGUACACUUUAAAUAUUUUAACGAGGAACAAUUGGAGGGCAAGUCUGGUGCCAGCAGCCGCGGUAAUUCCAGCUCCAAUAGCGUAUACAAAAUUGUGCGGUAAAAAGCUCGAGUGCAUUUGUGCGSSGCGCUGUCGGUSKUCCGCGGUGAUACUGACARGUUGCGGAGCAUAUCGACGGUGAA
rnacentral:rRNA from 1 species